GCGAGUGGGCCCAACCACAAAAGGAAGCCAGGCUCCUGCACUAUAAACAUGUGUGUAGAAGAGGGAAAUUCAACAGGUGUAGCAAUAAAAGCUACACCUGUUGAAAUCCCCUCUUCUCAACAAGUCUUCAAGGUACAGGAGCCUGGCUUCCUUUUGUGUCUGGGCACGCUUGC